rnacentral:rRNA from 1 species
GGGUUGUGAGGUUAAGCGACUAAGCGUACACGGUGGAUGCCCUGGCAGUCAGAGGCGAUGAAGGACGUGCUAAUCUGCGAUAAGCGUCGGUAAGGUGAUAUGAACCGUUAUAACCGGCGAUUUCCGAAUGGGGAAACCCAGUGUGUUUCGACACACUAUCAUUAACUGAAUCCAUAGGUUAAUGAGGCGAACCGGGGGAACUGAAACAUCUAAGUACCCCGAGGAAAAGAAAUCAACCGAGAUUCCCCCAGUAGCGGCGAGCGAACGGGGAGCAGCCCAGAGCCUGAAUCAGUGUGUGUGUUAGUGGAAGCGUCUGGAAAGGCGCGCGAUACAGGGUGACAGCCCCGUACACAAAAAUGCACAUGCUGUGAGCUCGAUGAGUAGGGCGGGACACGUGGUAUCCUGUCUGAAUAUGGGGGGACCAUCCUCCAAGGCUAAAUACUCCUGACUGACCGAUAGUGAACCAGUACCGUGAGGGAAAGGCGAAAAGAACCCCGGCGAGGGGAGUGAAAAAGAACCUGAAACCGUGUACGUACAAGCAGUGGGAGCACGCUUAGGCGUGUGACUGCGUACCUUUUGUAUAAUGGGUCAGCGACUUAUAUUCUGUAGCAAGGUUAACCGAAUAGGGGAGCCGAAGGGAAACCGAGUCUUAACUGGGCGUUAAGUUGCAGGGUAUAGACCCGAAACCCGGUGAUCUAGCCAUGGGCAGGUUGAAGGUUGGGUAACACUAACUGGAGGACCGAACCGACUAAUGUUGAAAAAUUAGCGGAUGACUUGUGGCUGGGGGUGAAAGGCCAAUCAAACCGGGAGAUAGCUGGUUCUCCCCGAAAGCUAUUUAGGUAGCGCCUCGUGAAUUCAUCUCCGGGGGUAGAGCACUGUUUCGGCAAGGGGGUCAUCCCGACUUACCAACCCGAUGCAAACUGCGAAUACCGGAGAAUGUUAUCACGGGAGACACACGGCGGGUGCUAACGUCCGUCGUGAAGAGGGAAACAACCCAGACCGCCAGCUAAGGUCCCAAAGUCAUGGUUAAGUGGGAAACGAUGUGGGAAGGCCCAGACAGCCAGGAUGUUGGCUUAGAAGCAGCCAUCAUUUAAAGAAAGCGUAAUAGCUCACUGGUCGAGUCGGCCUGCGCGGAAGAUGUAACGGGGCUAAACCAUGCACCGAAGCUGCGGCAGCGACGCUUAUGCGUUGUUGGGUAGGGGAGCGUUCUGUAAGCCUGUGAAGGUGUGCUGUGAGGCAUGCUGGAGGUAUCAGAAGUGCGAAUGCUGACAUAAGUAACGAUAAAGCGGGUGAAAAGCCCGCUCGCCGGAAGACCAAGGGUUCCUGUCCAACGUUAAUCGGGGCAGGGUGAGUCGACCCCUAAGGCGAGGCCGAAAGGCGUAGUCGAUGGGAAACAGGUUAAUAUUCCUGUACUUGGUGUUACUGCGAAGGGGGGACGGAGAAGGCUAUGUUGGCCGGGCGACGGUUGUCCCGGUUUAAGCGUGUAGGCUGGUUUUCCAGGCAAAUCCGGAAAAUCAAGGCUGAGGCGUGAUGACGAGGCACUACGGUGCUGAAGCAACAAAUGCCCUGCUUCCAGGAAAAGCCUCUAAGCAUCAGGUAACAUCAAAUCGUACCCCAAACCGACACAGGUGGUCAGGUAGAGAAUACCAAGGCGCUUGAGAGAACUCGGGUGAAGGAACUAGGCAAAAUGGUGCCGUAACUUCGGGAGAAGGCACGCUGAUAUGUAGGUGAAGUCCCUCGCGGAUGGAGCUGAAAUCAGUCGAAGAUACCAGCUGGCUGCAACUGUUUAUUAAAAACACAGCACUGUGCAAACACGAAAGUGGACGUAUACGGUGUGACGCCUGCCCGGUGCCGGAAGGUUAAUUGAUGGGGUUAGCGCAAGCGAAGCUCUUGAUCGAAGCCCCGGUAAACGGCGGCCGUAACUAUAACGGUCCUAAGGUAGCGAAAUUCCUUGUCGGGUAAGUUCCGACCUGCACGAAUGGCGUAAUGAUGGCCAGGCUGUCUCCACCCGAGACUCAGUGAAAUUGAACUCGCUGUGAAGAUGCAGUGUACCCGCGGCAAGACGGAAAGACCCCGUGAACCUUUACUAUAGCUUGACACUGAACAUUGAGCCUUGAUGUGUAGGAUAGGUGGGAGGCUUUGAAGUGUGGACGCCAGUCUGCAUGGAGCCGACCUUGAAAUACCACCCUUUAAUGUUUGAUGUUCUAACGUUGACCCGUGAUCCGGGUUGCGGACAGUGUCUGGUGGGUAGUUUGACUGGGGCGGUCUCCUCCUAAAGAGUAACGGAGGAGCACGAAGGUUGGCUAAUCCUGGUCGGACAUCAGGAGGUUAGUGCAAUGGCAUAAGCCAGCUUGACUGCGAGCGUGACGGCGCGAGCAGGUGCGAAAGCAGGUCAUAGUGAUCCGGUGGUUCUGAAUGGAAGGGCCAUCGCUCAACGGAUAAAAGGUACUCCGGGGAUAACAGGCUGAUACCGCCCAAGAGUUCAUAUCGACGGCGGUGUUUGGCACCUCGAUGUCGGCUCAUCACAUCCUGGGGCUGAAGUAGGUCCCAAGGGUAUGGCUGUUCGCCAUUUAAAGUGGUACGCGAGCUGGGUUUAGAACGUCGUGAGACAGUUCGGUCCCUAUCUGCCGUGGGCGCUGGAGAACUGAGGGGGGCUGCUCCUAGUACGAGAGGACCGGAGUGGACGCAUCACUGGUGUUCGGGUUGUCAUGCCAAUGGCACUGCCCGGUAGCUAAAUGCGGAAGAGAUAAGUGCUGAAAGCAUCUAAGCACGAAACUUGCCCCGAGAUGAGUUCUCCCUGACCCUUUAAGGGUCCUGAAGGAACGUUGAAGACGACGACGUUGAUAGGCCGGGUGUGUAAGCGCAGCGAUGCGUUGAGCUAACCGGUACUAAUGAACCGUGAGGCUUAACCUUACAACGCCGAAGGUGUUU